rnacentral:rRNA from 1 species
CAGCCGCCGCGGUAAUACGAAGGUCCCGAGCGUUGUUCGGAAUCACUGGGCGUAAAGGGAGCGUAGGCGGCGUGGUAAGUCAGAUGUGAAAUCCCGGGGCUCAACUCCGGAACUGCCUUUGAUACUCCCGCGCUUGAGAACUGGAGGGGACAUCGGAAUUCACGGUGGAGCAGUGAAAUGCGUGGAUAUCGUGAGGAACACUAGUGGCGAAGGCGGAUGUCUGGACAGUAUCUGACGCUGAGGCACGAAGGCCAGGGGAGCGAACGGGAUUAGAUACCCCCGUAGUCCCUGUCUCUUAUAC